ACCCAGGUGAAAUAAGCAGCCUUGUUGCUCACACAAAGGUUUGGUGGUCUCUUCACAUGGACGCGCAUGAAAGAUUUGAUGUAUGCAGAGAAUAUGUAUGCAGAUUUUGGAGUUUCUACCUUCUGUGGACUUCCUCUUUUUCUGGAUUCCUUUUUCAAUUCCCAGCCAUUUUUGAGAGUGGGGGAAAAACAUGUAAAUAUGGAUUGCAACUAGUAUAUUUCCUUUUUUUCAAUCAUUUUAUUCCCUCGAGUAUCUGCCUGCUUGUCACUAUCCUAUGCUUUCAAAUAACUAUUUUAUAUGUCUUGUUUGACAUUUAUGAUUGUUAGUAGCAGAAAUGUUAGUAUAAUAAAAUCUGUGCCAACACUAUUCAAGGCAAGAUGUCCUUAGGAAAACUUUAAAAAUAAAUUCCUGAAAUAUAAAACUUAAGCAAAAAUAAAAUACAUAUAUUACACACACACACACACACACACACACACACAAAUAUAUUUAUAUAUAAAUUAGCUGGGUGUGGUGGUGCACGCCUGUAAUCCCAGCUACUCUGGAGGCUGAGGCAAGAGAAUCACUUGAACUGGGGAAGCACAGUUUGCAGUGUGCUGAGAUUGUGCCACUGCACUCCUGCCUGAGCAACAGGCAACAGAGGAAGACCACAUCUAAAAAAAACACACACACAAACACACACAUCAUGGGACAUUUUUGCAAAUCCUUUAAGUUCACCAGCUAUCACUAGCAUUAGUGUUUUUAGGUGUGGCCCAAGACAACUCUUCAUCUUCCACUGUGGCCCAGGGAAGCUAAAAGAUUGGACUUCCCUGGAGUAGAUGGUUUAUAAGGCCUGUUUUAACCUCAAAGUGCUUGGAUUCUACUCUCUUGGUCCCAGCCGCUGAACAACCAUCUCAGUUCAGACUCCACCCCACGGUGUGGUCUGAUAAUGACCUUGAUGAGGACCAAUGACAUGGCUGGUCCUCACACAUUGGCCUGAUAACAUUUAUCGGCCUCUGAGGAGUGGUGUAAGAAGCUUAUAUUUGAUCAAAGUGCUGCCUUGAACUCUGACUUUGAAGAGAACUGCUGGACUGAAACAUUCACAGUGAGUCAACAAACCCUUCCUUCCUUCUGCCAACCUCAUCUUCAUCCGCUUCAAGGUCGGCCUGGCCCCAGGCCAUGUCUGGACAAGGUCUUGUCCAUGACUGCCAGCCUCUGGUAGCAGAGAAGCUUACUUGUCCUGGUCAAUUCCUAAGUAACCUAUAUUUUUCUUGGUUUCCUACAGACUGUAAUCCCCCUGCCUUCUAUCAAGGUGAAAUGUUAACAAGUUUAAAUAUCCAGCGGUGCUCUUCCUUCCUUGGAUGAAACUUUCUAAGCUCUAUCACUUGUUUAUAGGUCUGGAGAAAUACAAUGAUCCUGAAGAAAACCUGAGCUUAUGUGAAGCAACUUUGUUUUCCUUUGACAAACUCCCAUUUCCAACACCAGAAUCCAACUGCAAGGAAAUGAAGCAUAAACAGCUGAAUUUAGAAAUCUUCUAAUUCUGAUUUUUUUAUUUUUGUUUUUGAGACAAAGUCUUGUCCUGUGGCCCAGGCUGGAGUGCAAUAGUGUGAUUAUAGCUCACUGCAGCCUCGAACUCCUGGUCUCAAGUGAUCCUCCCACCUCAGCCUCCCAAGUAGCUGGGACUACAGGCAAGAGUCACCAUGCCUAGCUACUUUUUUUUAUUUUUGUAAAGAUGGAAUCUUGCUAUGUUGCCCAGGCUGGUCUCCAACUCCUGGCCUAAACAAUCCUCCCACCUUAGCUUCCCAAAGUGCUGGAAUUAUAGACAUAAGCCACCAUUCCCAGCCUAAUUCAUAUUUUUAAGCAGGAAGCAUAGUCUACCUUAUAACUCCUAUGCUCUUCUUCCAAAACCUUUACCCUGUAGUUUAUGAACUGCGAUGAAGGACCAAGUAUAUCUCCAUUCUAACAGCACAUUAUAAUGUCCACACAAUAUAUAAAUAAAAGAAAAGCAGGCCGGUCACGGUGGCUCACACCUGUAAUUCCAGCACUUUCAGAAGCCAAAGUGGGUGGAUCACUUGAGGCCAGGAGUUGAAGACCAGCCUGGCCAAAAUGGUGAAACCCCGUCUCUACUAAAAAUAUAAAAAUUAGCCAAGUGAUGGUGGCACAUGCCUGUAAUUCCAGCUACUUGGGAGGCUGAGGCAGGAGAAUCACUUGAACCUGGGAGGCAGAGGUUGCAGUGAGCCAAGAUCAUGCCACUGCACUCCAGCCUGGACAACAGAGCGAGACUCCAUCUCAAAAAAAAUAAAAAGAAAAAAAGAAAGGCAAUGUGGUACCAUGCCUUAGGAUCGUACAUACGUCACCCAACUCGCUUACCUACUGUAAUGGACGUUUGUUGCUCUUGCUUGUACGGCACUCUUUUUCUAGAUCUUCCUUUGGACAACCGCCUCCUCCCUGCCUUCAUUCCUGUGGUUUGGUGAAGCUGACACUUCUCCCAGCUAUAGGGAGGGGCGUGAGCCACAGGCCAAAGUCAAUCAGUGCAUUCCAUCCACCAGCCCAGAGACUGAAUCAGCAAAGGUCCCAGAGCUCCACUUGGGCCAAUGGCAGUCAGGCCAAGGACUUUGUGGAACUGUUGCUCAGAGGACAGGUACUCACCUUGCACUGAAACUGGAGUGAUGGGAGUAUGAACCUGGGGCUACUAACAGCCAUCUUGCCCCAGAAGGAAGUACUUCCCUAAGUUUAAUGCCUACCCAGAGGAGGGCAGAGCAGAUAGACAAGAGACAGGGUUCUGGGGUCAACUGUGUCUGAAGUCAGAGACAUGAAAUAAAUUUCGUUUUUUGCUCAGAUUCAGGUCUUGCACAGAAACUGAGCCUUGAUUUUCCGCAGAAUAUACUGUGACCAAGCCUCCUGCAGGGCUGCCUGUACGUUAAAGAAAUGGAAGCGUCUUGAAUCGUGUCCAUCGUCCCUCCUUUACACAAAGUAAUCACCUCCAGCUGGGCCAAGUUGAUUGAGGAAACGUUCAGUUUUCACAUGAUUUUGCUGUAGCACCAUAAUGAAUGUAUUUCUUUGAUGGAAGAAAGAAGCUUCAUGAAAUAAACUGCUUAAGGAUUUGAAGUUGGAGCUGAAAACAUGGGCUGCUUUGUUCUUAAUGACAACUGCUUUGCCAUCUAAAACAUUUCUCCUUUUUGAAGGAUCUGUCUUUUCUCUUCCAGCCACAACCCUCGAGCUACAAUAACAGGCUCAUGAUUUUUUUAGAUGCCAAGGUUAUGAAUACUCUUUUAUGAAUAUUUUCCUUUGAACUCAUUUCUCUUGAAGAAGAAAAAUAGCCCUACAUAUUGCAGGAUUGACAAUAACAGACAAAACGUACAAAUUGUUCUCUUAGGGGCAGUAAAAUGCUCCAAAAUGCACAUAGAAAAAUUCCAAAUGCAACCUGAUGUUUAUGGAGCACUGCCUUUGCAGCUAUAAUUUUUAGAAAGUAAUAUUUCUGACUGACAUGAAUUAUACAGAGCAUAUUUCAGAGACUAAUAUCAGGUUAAUGCCUUAAAAUGUCUCCGUUUAUGACAUCAUGGCUGCUUUUCCUAUAUCAGUGCAAACUCUUAGUGAGUAGAAUUUGAGGAUAUGUCUUUUCAAAGGAAGAAAACCUUCACUGAAUUAAGCUGCUUAUGGUUUUAUUUUUUCUUUUAUCCCAUUUCAACAUAUCCACCAACCUCCUCUAAAAAUAAUUCAACUAAUGUGAACUCAACAGAUUAUAGUAGAUCUCUUAUUAAUUUCAUUUUGCCUCCAAAGGAGCUUAUCAUUUAGGCUUAUAAUUAUGUAUGCAGUACUGUCGACUAAUGUUUAGGUUCCUCAUUAAAACUUCAUUUCAUUCUGUUUUAA